rnacentral:ncRNA from 12 species
GAUAUUUGAAGUAGAGAUUGUGCUGCUACACACCCUAGGGUCAAAAGAAAUGCGGGGAGGGGCACUCCCGCCAAAUAUC